rnacentral:misc_RNA from 1 species
AUGUAUUUUUUAUGAUUUAUAACAAUUAAAGGUAGUAACAAUUAAAGGUAGUAAGAACAUUUAUACAGAAACCUACAAUUAAACCAAGCCAGUACAUGGACAAGGGGAAAGAAAAAGAAUAAUCAAAAACCUUAAAAGGAAGAGCAACAAGCUUAGAACAUGGAAAGUGAACAAUGAAUGAAGGAAACCUUCAAAGAAAAUAAUGUAAAA